CAAAAGUACAUGAGCAGUGGUGUUUAUAGCUAAUGGAUCACAGGCGGUUACAGAUUUCUUUGUUCUUUCUUCACCCUCACUGCUUCAUUUGACUAGC
rnacentral:sRNA from 1 species